UACAGAGACUGCAAGCGUUAUUCGGAUUCACUGGGCGUAAAGGGUGCGCAGGCGGCCAAGUGUGUGAGGCGUGAAAGCCUGGGGCUUAACUCCAGAAUUGCACCUCAAACUACUUGGCUAGAGCAUUGGAGAGGGUAGCAGAAUUCAUGGUGUAGCAGUGAAAUGCGUAGAUAUCAUGAGGAAUACCAGAGGCGAAGGCGGCUACCUGGACAAUUGCUGACGCUCAGGCACGAAAGCGUGGGGAGCAAACAGG
rnacentral:rRNA from 1 species